rnacentral:rRNA from 1 species
CACUCCUUGAUUAAAAAUUUUUAUAAGGAGCCCUGCCUGCCCAGUGACCUUGUUAAACGGCCGCAGUAUUUUAACUGUGCAAAGGUAGCAUAAUCAUUUGCCUCUUAAAUGGAGGCUGGUAUGAAUGGCAAGACGGAAUUUAACUGUCUCUUUUCUUUACCUUUAAAUUAUUAUUUUUGUGAAGAAACAAAAAUAGAAUCGCAGGACGAGAAGACCCUAUUGAGCUUAAAUUAAAAUAAUAAAAAUUUAAACUAAAAUUUUUAAUUAAUUCAAAUACUUAGACUAUUAAUUAAUUUUAAUUAAAAUUUUUAUAAAACUUAUUAUUAAUAUUUUGAUUGGGGCAAUCAUGGAGCCAAAACAACCUCCACUAUAUUUUAAUUAACAAAAAAUAACAAUUUUAAUAUUUUUUAUAAAUAUUUUAAUGACCCACUUAACAAGUGAACAAAGAAAUAAGUUACCAUAGGGAUAACAGCGUAAUUUUUUUGGAGAGUUCACAUUGAUAAAAAAGUUUGCGACCUCGAUGUUGGAUCGGGCUUUCCAAGAAAUGCAACAGUUUCUAAAGGUUGGUCUGUUCGACCAUUAAAAGCCU